rnacentral:rRNA from 1 species
GACGAACGCUGGCGGCGUGCUUAACACAUGCAAGUCGAACGGAUAGGCCCUGCUUUUUUGGGGUGCUCGCGUCGCGAACGUGUGAGUAACACGUGAGUCACCUUCCCUUUACUUUGUGAUAACUUCAGGAAACUGGUGCUAAUACCUGAUAGGAGCUCCUGCUGCAUGGUGGGGUUUGGACCGCUUCGGCGGAUGGGGAUGGACUUCCGGCUUAUCAGCUGGUUGGUUGGGGAGUUGCUUACCCAGGCUUUGACGGGUAGCCUGCCUGAGAGGGGGACCGGCAACAUGGGGACUGAGAGACGGAGCAGAGUGGUAUGGGAGGCAGAAGGGGGGAAUAUGGCACAAUGAGCGGAAGCGUGAGAAAGAAACGCCGCGUGCGGGAUGACGGCCUACGGGUUGUAAACCGCUGUCGGCUGUGACGAAGCGGGAGUGACGGUAAUGGGUAAAGAAGCACCGGCUAACUACGUG